ensembl:lncRNA
AUGGCGCACGAUCUCGUGGAAGAGCGCGUCCGGCUCCUCGUCUAUGGUGUAGUAGCGCUGGGGCGGCGGGGCCGGGGCCGGGGACGGUGCCGGGGCCGGGGCCGGGGCGGAGGCGGAGGCGGAGGCGGAGGUGGAGGUGGAGGCGGAGGCGGAGGCGGAGGCAGGGGCCGGGAAGAGCUCCCCGUGCGCGGAGCAGGCCAGCCGCGGGCCGGACGGCCGCGGCUCGGCCCUGGGCUCGGACUCGGGCUGCGGCUUGCGCUCGGGCUGCGGCUCCGGCUCGGGCUCGCGCUGCGCCUCCGCCUCCGCCUCCGCCUCCGCCGCCAGCGCAGCCUGGAAGCCGUGCAGUCCGGUGCGCGGGGGGCAGCCCCCGCCGGCGCUCGGGAAGCCGAAGCGCUGCUCCGAGGCGAUGACGUGGGCCUGGUGGCCGGCCCGGCCGGGGCCCUGUACGGAGGAGCAGCCGCCGGCCAUCUGCAGGAGCUUCCGGGGCCCGGGAUCGUCUCUGUCGCGGGGCCCGGCCAGAUCCGUCUUCGGCUCCGGCUCCCUCUCCGCUUCCGUCUCCCCCAACUCGUGAGGCUGCGGGAGAGCCCCGGGUCCACCUCCGGCCGUGGCCGUGCGGUUCCUGCUUCGGACCGAGUCCUGGUCGCUGCUCUGGAGGUGAAUUGCCCAGUACUUCAGUAUACUCAUCUGUCAAAGGGCUUUAAAUAACCCCUGCCCAUCUCUUGGAGACUAAAAUGAAGGCCUCAGAAGAAGAUUUCAGCAGUGUCAACUACUGUUAUGGCUUUAAGAGCUCCAUUUAAUUAAACGAUCUCAGCAACUGGUGGCCUAAAAAUCAGGAAAAAAAAAUUUUUUUAAGAAAACAGAAUUUUUCCCUAUUUAAGUAAGGUCUUUUCUUUCUCCUGGACCAUUUAGUCAGAAUAUAGUAAAGAUUGUACUAAUUGCUGAGAAGAAAAAACUUUCUUGUUUAUGAGAUUAGCAGAAAAGAAACUAAAUUAUGACUCCACAGAAAAAGAAAAUAUAUGAAUUAAAUCAGGCAUGAUUUAUUUGAAUACGAAUUUUCAAAUUAUAUUGUAAAAAAUUGAGUUUAUAUUUGUAGUGUCCCAAAGCAUCCCCUGGAUUUUGAAAUGGGUUCUCUAUGCGGUAGUAUCCCCAGAUUUAAGGGGUUCUGUGGGUCUGAACCCCUAAAAAUAUAGCUCAGGGGUCUCCACAGCAGAGAACACAAUUACCUCAAAGCAAAGGCAUUUACUGAAAUAACAUAGUAAGAAAAGUAGCAAUCCCAUCCCACUCUACUCCCCAAAAUAAAUCUUUCCUUUUAAUCCUAGGGGACACUCUCCCACAAAAACAAAUAGCACCAUGGGAAAGAGGUCCUCAUAGAGGUUAUAAGUUGAGAAUCAUAAUCAUAAGGAACACACAUAGCCAGAACACACGUAUGGAGUUCCUGUAGCCAAAGCAUGUUUGAGGAGGGAUGCUAAAGAGCCAUUAACAUUAUAGGGUCUCUUAUUCUAGGUCAGGCCCAAACUAGAUAACAUAAUAGUUCAUGCUUAAAGAAGAUACAAUGAAAUAUUUAGUGGAACAAACAACUGUAGUUAAGAAAAACAACUAAUUAAGAAUUAAAAGAACACACUUCAAAAAUUAAAAGAAUGCUACUCCCCAUACAAAGUCAGGAACUCCAGAAAGCUACAAGCAGUUGAAACUCAGGAGAAGCAAUCAUUCUCCUUAUAAGCCUUUUAUAUUUCAAGUGACUUUUUCAACACAUCCCAGUUUACAUUCUACCUGAGCAGCAAGUGAUGGAUAGUACCACUAAGAAAUGAAAAAGGAAUUAGGGAAGUGGGAAUGAAAAGGAAAGAAAGCAGAGGGGCUCCAGAUAUAAUAUGUAACAGGCACAAAAACAACCCUGCUCUCACCAAUGAAAUCUAAUUGUUCCUCCCUAAUAGAAGUCCCCAGUGUUGCGUACACCAUCCACAUAAAAUCAUACAUUUUCUUAUAACACAGCAAUUCUUGGUAGUAAGGUCCCAAAAAUUUUCAUAGAAACUUUCUACUAUUAAAAUAAUUUUAAAACAAUUCUAAGAACUAGAAAGGCAUUGCAAAUCAUGAAAAUACAAAAUCAUAUAAAUAAUCUUCUUUAAAGAUGGAAGAAGCAGGGCAAAAAAAAAAAAAAAAAUCAGGGGCAGUUCAUAAAAAUUUUCUAAAGCCAAAACACUUGUGAUAGCCAGAAAUAGUACCAGGAACAUUAAGUCCAUCAAAAAAACUGAAGAUUCCUCUCAAGCUAUCACUAUUCUACAUCACAGAUCUGAAUCACCUAAAUCAAAAUAAGUGGUCAUAGGCUUUUUGCAUGCACUCUAUGACAGGGCUCACUCCCAUGCACCCUCUUGAACACUUAUUUGAUGUUCCCUAAUGCAUAACGUAGGAGCUACUUCAAGAGGAUGCUACCAAAUUGUGGCUUCUUUAGACCCUUUUACCUGAGGGACUACUUCGUUCCUCCUUGGGCAAUGGGUAAAGACUGCCUUCAAAAUUAAUACCAAAUUAGCCAAAGGAUCUCAUUUUUCUAAAUGAAUUCCUUAUCAUGGUUGUAAAAAGACAGUUUUACAUUCUCUAUCAUUAAAAAGUAAAGCCUCCUCUAGUAAUUCUACCCUUUAAUCCCCACAACCCUUUCUGGGCAUGAACUAUCCAAAAUAUCCUGAAAGAAAAGAAAACUGCAUGACCUCCCUCCUUGAAUUUAUAGAAUCCCCUGUGGGGUGGAAAUGGGAGGCAGAUUCUUCUAGAUCUGGGUGAUCACAUAGGAAACUUCAUAUGGGACAAAAAAAAAAAAAGACUGGAGAGGGUCAUUUGGGACUAUAUGCUCCUCCCAAUCAGGCUGAAAUUAAGAAAUUGUUUUGGAGCACCCCUCUUUCAUGGAUAGUAAUGAUUGAUCAAAGUUACCAUUCUGUGAUAGAACAAAAACAAACAAAAAAGGUAAUGAAUUAUAUUAUGAUACAGCUAUUAUUCUAUAAAAGUCUAUUUCAACAUUCCACAGUACCAACUGCCUUAGAAUAGCAUGGAAAUGAAAACCCCAGUAAAUGUGUUGGGCCCAAUCUCAAUCCUUUCUGGAAGUAAAAUAAAUAUCUUGAUUAGAGGCAAUGGUUUUGGGGAGGGCUAAAGGGAGGGAGCAUAAGGAAGAAAGAUAGGGGCUUUAAUUGUAGUUGCCAAGUAGAAAACUAAACUAACACUGUAACUGAAUGUCCUGAAUAGGUGUCAACUCUAGUGAGGGAAAAUCUUUUGCUUUGCAAUGAAAAAAAAAAGAACAAUAUAAUUAAUUUUCUGUGAUGUUAAGCCAUUCUGAUUCUUCAAAGGUGUAUGCUCUGAUUGGCAAGGGGAACGUUGUCCAACAGUAAUAUCAUCAUUGUUCUAAAGGAUUCAUAUGGUUUCCUGCCCACUGCAACAUAGCAGAAGGAUAUCUUUGUCUAUAUUAAUGAUGAACCCAAUGCCCAAUCUUUGCUAUUAUAAGAUCAUCAACUUGGUUACUGAAUACAACAGAGGGUAUAUGAUAACUUCAUUGUAUACUAAUGUGCCCCACAAAUAACUAUAUGUGAUGAAAGGCAUUGGCAAAAUUCUUCCAAUAGUCCCAUCUCCAAAGUGUCUGAUUCUGUUCUCUCUGAACCUUAAAUUAUUCACCCAAAUCAUAGUCACUGCCCAAGAGUCAAUACAAGUAAAAAUGUGAUUUGCUCUAUCCAUCAAGGCUUUCUCACAGUUUAGCCCACUUAGACAACUUUCCAGAGCUCCUAUCUCUUAGGGUUUUCCCUGCUCUGUGGAUGCUGAGAGACAAUUGUAUCUUGCUUUCUCAUAUUAGACAGAAUUAUUAGUAAGUCAAGGAAAAUAAUAUUUCUUAAGAGCUAGUCCUUUUA